GGAGGAACAACCAGUGGAUAGUCUUACUGCAGUUUGGGGCGCAGCCACAUUGCUUCCUCCUCCUCUGGCUUCAGGUGAUGUCCUCGAUCUACCACAGAUAAGACUGUCGCUUCCUACCCCCCUCCUUGCGUUGCUAGAUUUUCUUUAGUUCAUUGAUAUGGUCCGUCUUCAUCGCGCUGGAUGUUCCCUCACAGCCGAAAGGAUCAACAUAGCUUCAUGGAGAUUAUUGAAUAACCCAGGUAAAGAUAAAAUUAUGAAUAUAGGAACACACCUACAGUACGACACCAAUAUGGUGGCAAGGCGUCAGCAUGCCUAAGUUCUGCACAGCGUGCAUGUGGGGUUUGUAUGGCAGAUCAAUGUUGUGCACUAAGCCGACCAGUCACUUUGCGCUUAUCUUCACUGUAGUUACUCUGACGAAAUUCAUGUUAUCAUUAGUAAUUAUUAGGUGUGGACACAUAUUCUGUUAUUUUCAGUUUAAGGGAGUAGAAUCUUCCGAUUUGGCCCUCCGUAAGGACCGAAUUAACAACAAUAGAGAGGAAUAUUAGGAGAUAUUCACUGCUACAAAUAUUUCAUUAUUUUCAUAGUUGGCAGAAUCUGAUUUUUAUAGUAGAAAUAUUUAGCAUAGAUGUCAAUGUGGGUACAGAUUUGUCAGGUCCACAUGUGUUUGCAUGAGCACUACUUUUUUCUAUAUCUGAGGGCUGAACUAAUUAAGUAACGACUGAUGAUUUGAGCAAAAGAACCCUUUGUUUUUAUUUUUUAUUUUCUUGGUGUAUCCACAGAUUGCACCGUUUUGCUGUAUGAGAAGCACUAUUAGAGCCUCCAUGUUAAUUCUAGAAGAGAAUUACAAAGAACCAUCAGAUGUGCUAGCCAAUGAAAUUUAAGGCGUUACAUUGUAGAUUGGUUCAAGAGUGAGAGUUGGUUCAGUACUAUAGGCAUGUGCGUGACAAAAGAAAUAUAUUAAUCCAAGUGGACAUUGUUUUCCUCCAUAAACCCCAUCUGGGAUGUGACAACGAAGUGUUGAGUAAAUAAGUGGUUUUGUGGGGGUGGCAUGCUUGAUUUGAUCAACUGUAAAUUAUCCUGUGCCUUCUCUGUUCUUACUUGUUAUAAUUCUCUCCCUGGAGCUGGAAAGACACUGUGACAUGCUAAUUUGACCAUGUCAACCUCAAAAGUUAUCUUUUCUUUCUAAAUGUCCUAGUAGAAGUUAAGAUUUGGCUUCACUAAUGUAAAUAAUUCAAAAGAGGUUUGCAUCCUUCCUUUUUAUUUAUGUACGUUAUGGAUAAUCGUGCUACCUAUGCACAUAUUCAGGUUGCAGUCAUAUUCAUCGUAAGGAGAUUUUUUUUAAGAGCUAUAUUUGGUUUUGUAGCUGCAUGCACCAAGUCAAUGUAGGGGGAUGCCAUGGAGCAAGCAGAGUUCAUAGAGCAACUCAUGGAUGAUGCCAUGAAAGGUGUAUAGAAUUAGCAAUGGAGCUAGUGAUGGCCAUAUAAAUUCAUUUCAGUGGGUUUGGGGCUGUAGGUUUGCUCCAAGGCGUGGCUAUGUCGUAUAUUGUGGCGGCUGGAUUAGUCAUCAAUAACAACUAACACUCAUGGUGGCAGUGCAUGUCGAUAUGACACUUGUGAAAUCUGAAGAUUUGGUAUGGAGUCGCAAAAAAUGCAACACUCGGUAAUGCAGAAAAAACGAAGAUUGCAUGGCCUUCAACCUUUAUUCAGAAGAUAUCUGGAUGAUUAUAUGGGUGUGUGGCAAGUAUACUGCAGAUGUUGUUGAUGAUGAUGUCCUGGUUCACAAUGAUGAUGAUGGAUGCUUUCAGUUUUAUUUAAGUUGUAGGGAUGAUGUUCUUGUUGGGUGAUGUUCCCCGGUUAAGUUUUAGUUAAGUUGUA